GUGCUCUGAUGCUAUUGCACCACAUGUGUUUUUCUUUGAAACAAACUUGCUUUGGCGGUGGGCCCAGCCUGCCGCCAGAGGUCUAAACUUACAACCAAUUUUUUAUUAACUUGUCACACCAGAUUAUUACUAAAUAGUCAAAACUUUCAACAACGGAUCUCUUGGUUCUCGCAUCGAUGAAGAACGCAGCGAAAUGCGAUACGUAAUAUGAAUUGCAGAUAUUCGUGAAUCAUCGAAUCUUUGAACGCACAUUGCGCCCUCUGGUAUUCCGGAGGGCAUGCCUGUUUGAGCGUCGUUUCUCCCUCAAACCGCUGGGUUUGGUGUUGAGCAAUACGACUUGGGUUUGCUUGAAAGACGGUAGUGGUAAGGCGGGAUCGCUUUGACAAUGGCUUAGGUCUAACCAAAAACAUUGCUUGCGGCGGUAACGUCUACCACGUAUAUCUUCAAACUUUGACCUCAAAUCAGGUAGGACUACCCGCUGAACUUAAGCAUAUCAAAAGGCGGGAGGAA
rnacentral:rRNA from 1 species